UGGGGAAUCUUGCGCAAUAGGGGAAACCCUGACGCAGCGACGCCGCGUGCGGGAAGAAGGCCUUCGGGUUGUAAACCGCUUUCAGGAGGGACGAAGCUACUCGGGUGAAUAGCCCAGAGGGUGACGGUACCUCCAGAAGAAGCCCCGGCUAACUACGUGCCAGCAGCCGCGGUAAUACGUAGGGGGCAAGCGUUGUCCGGAUUUAUUGGGCGUAAAGAGCGUGUAGGCGGCCGGGCAGGUCCGUUGUGAAAACUCGAGGCUCAACCUCGAGACGUCGAUGGAAACCGUCUGGCUAGAGUCCGGAAGAGGAGAGUGGAAUUCCUGGUGUAGCGGUGAAAUGCGCAGAUAUCAGGAAGAACACCUAUGGCGAAGGCAGCUCUCUGGGACGGUACUGACGCUGAGACGCGAAAGCGUGGGGAGCGAACAGGAUUAGAUACCCUGGUAGUCCACGCCGUAAACGAU
rnacentral:rRNA from 1 species